GGAGAGAUGGCCGAGUGGUUUAAGGCAGCGGUCUUGAAAACCGCCGAUAAGAAAUUGUCCGAGAGUUCGAAUCUCUCUCUCUCCG
rnacentral:tRNA from 1 species